UGGGUGUAUGUGGGACAGCUC
rnacentral:miRNA from 1 species